rnacentral:miRNA from 1 species
UGUAUAACAGUGCUACCUCCCACUCCAUGGUUUGGCAUUAAAUACAAAUUUGGGGUUGGGGAUGGGGAGAAGGGAGA